rnacentral:rRNA from 1 species
UACGUAGGGUGCAAGCGUUGUCCGGAAUUAUUGGGCGUAAAGAGCUCGUAGGCGGUCUGUCGCGUCGGAUGUGAAAACUCGGGGGCUCAACCCCGGGCCUGCAUUCGAUACGGGCAGACUAGAGUUCGGCAGGGGGAGACUGGAAUUCCUGGUGUAGCGGUGAAAUGCGCAGAUAUCAGGAGGAACACCGGUGGCGAAGGCGGGUCUCUGGGCCGAAACUGACGCUGAGGAGCGAAAGCGUGGGGAGCAAACAGG